UCCUCAGUAGCUCAGUGGUAGAGCGAUCGGCUGUUAACCGAUUGGUCGUAGGUUCAAAUCCUUCCUGAGGAGU
rnacentral:tRNA from 1 species